CCCUUUUCCUUCAUUGUUUAUUUUUCCUUUAGGUUGUCAGACAUUAAAAUUAGACACUAUCAAUCUCCCAAUUUUUGAUGGAUGAAAAUUUAAAAAUAUAGUUAGUCGACUUCCCUAUUUAGCUCCCCUGAAUGGUUGACUAGGAGGGCCAAUGCUCUUCCUGAAUGGUGCUAUCAGAGCAUAUGACUAUGAUCCUAUAAAUAUAGUACAUGCUAUUUCCCCCUUUUACAUCAAAGAAAAAGGAAGGUGAAGCACCAAAACAUGUACUAUGAGAGAAAAAAAGAAAG
rnacentral:lncRNA from 1 species